UUUAUAGCAAAAUUAAAGUUUGGGACUUGCAAGCUGCUCUUGACCCUCGUGCCCCAGCAAGUACAUUAUGCUUGCGUACGUUAGUGGAACAUUCAGGACGUGUCUUUAGACUCCAGUUUGAUGAAUUUCAGAUCAUUAGUAGUUCCCAUGACGAUACAAUUCUGAUUUGGGAUUUCUUAAACGUGCCACCCAGUGCCCAGAAUGAGACCCGCUCUCCAUCUAGAACAUACACUUACAUCUCCAGAUAACAGUCUGCACUUUACUACCCUCGGAGGGGUUUCACAGUCUUGAACUACUGGAUUUUUGGCUACUACAUGCCUGAAGAUGUUGAUUGACAGCUAAAGUCAGAAUUGGUUCUAGAUGCUGUGUAGAUGCAAAGCAGCACAAUUCUAUAUUUAAAUUUCUUAAUCUUUCCUGCUCUCAGUGGUCGUCUUUGAAUUUACUACAAAUUCACUGACUUCGAGUAGAUGAAUUUCAGAAGCCUAUCCUUCCCUGCAAUGAGAAAUCCAAAGCUUCACAUGUAAAUUGUCCGUAGAAACUGAACUCUGAUGGCUUGUUUUUCAGAAAUAAAUCAGAAGUCAAGAAAGGACUUGGCCUAAUUUAUAUUGCUUUGCACUUUUGUCUGACUUUAAAGAAAAAACAUUCUCCAAUGAAAUUUGGGUGCCAAACACAUACCCAGAAUGUACAGAGCUUUGCUUUCAAAGUCACCAUUGUCCUUUAGACUUUACUCUCAUGACAGAUUCAGAGCCUGUUUUGUUUGAUAGGAGUGUACGUUGGACUCUUAGAAAUAUUUCUGAAUUGCUCAGUAAUAUUUUUGGAUUACAGUUUACUUGUUUCUGCACCAAUAAUUUCUUUUAAAUUAAAGAUUACCUGUAAUUCAGGCUAGGUUAUCUAAACUAGUUGUAUAGCACUGUCUUUUCCUUUUAACUGUGCUCUGUACUACAGCCGUCCUACGCUUCCUAAUGUUUGGUAUAGUAAAACCUUUCCAUGUGUGCUUGCCUCAUUUCAAAUACUGUAUAAGCAUGUAGAUAUAAUGUACAUAACAGUGUAACUCCGGGUGCUAGGAGUCAGGAUUUCCUGACACUACACACUAAUACAAAAUGUGGUAGCACUUGGCAGCAGGAUGUUCUAACUACUGGCACUGUAGGGGUUAAUACGAGUUACUUAGACAUUUUCUCUGCAAAAGGAGGUUUUCAGUAUUCAUUAGGAUUUUUUUAAUGGGAACUACAUAUUUUAAAAUGUAAUUUCUGAACUUUUUAAAAAUUAAAAAAUGUUUAAUUUAUGUUCUGUAUCUUAUAUUUUUGUGCCGCAGUAUUUACAGACGUUUCUUUUAACACCAGUAGGUCCUCACAAACGCCUGCUGAUGUCUUUCCUUAGCAUUAGUUUGGCUGCUCAAUGGAGAAGAUGCCAUGGGCCAAAGUUAAAUUUAUUUAUGUUUGAUUUGUAACACUUCCUUACGGUGGAGUGGAGGUCCCUUCAAGUCAAUGCUCUGGUUACCAUGCUGAUUACCAUGCUAAUUACCGUGCUAGUUUUCUUUUCCGUAGCUAUCAGCUGUGACCAUGUUGCGAUGGUCCUGGUCAUGGUUCCUCUUCGUUAGCAUGCUUUCAUUAGGAAGUCUCAAUAGUUUCUUUUUAUGUUGUCAUAGUCUCCCUUCUAAUUUAUGUGGUCAUAUAAACGCUACUGCAUUUUUCUUCUGUCAGAAUAAGACAUGGAUAAAUGCAAACAUGAAUAUUUUAUCUGCAUUAGCCAUGUGUGACUACGCCUGUCGGUGGCUUUUCUUUAAUGCUUUAGAGCUCAGCGUGAAAUCUGCCUGUUUUCCUGGGGAAGAUGCUUGUUGGCACAGAAAUGUAUUGUCAUUCCUUUGAUCGUUUGUACGCCGUAUGUUUUUGUCCUCUGGCAGCACUUUCUUGGGUUUGCAUUUUUCCCUUUUACAAUCAGAAGAGUUAGGGGAUGUCCGACUGCUGAGGGAUCGCUCCUGCGUUACUGCGGAAUGGCCACAGUUAGACGCAUCGUUUCUGUGUCAAGCGAAUUCAGAGAAAGCGUACGUCAAGGCGUUACCGAACCGUUACAGAAGCGCGGCUUAAGGUUUUCUCCUCUUCACCCUUCACAUUGAGAGAGGUGUUGGGAUCAGUGUUUAAGUUAAACUCCCAUUUACGUGUUACUACAACAAUAUUUAUUUCAUCGAGAUGACCGAAUGUGAAGAAGUACAGAAGAUGAAAAACACGCUCCUAAGCGUCCAUAAGAUCGCUUUUUGGUAAGCUUGACAGUAGUUCGUGAAAGUGUCUUACUUUACCCUUCUCAUCUAAUAGCUUUAAUAUUAAACUGUUUAAAAAGGAAAAUCUGUCGCAGCCCUGAAGAAAAAGGUAUUUGUUUCCGAAGAACGGAGUCCUUUUUUAAAAAUGCAUGUGUAAGAUUUAAAUUCAUGUUUUUCCUUGGGAGAUAAUGGUAUUUGAACAUGCAGUCUAAACUUCUUUGUGCUUUGUGUAACAUAGCAGUGGACUUUUGUGAUUGGCACCCAAGGAACUUGACUCCUGGGAUUAAUGGUAGUGAUCCUGGCUGCACUCUGGACUUGUUUUGCUAACCAUAAUUGAGCAACUGUACAUUACUGCUAUAUUAAUGUUUCAAAGCACUGGGAUAGUCUAAUUCUAACUUGUAAUUAUGUUUGCCAAUUAUCUGUUUGGAAAGUUGGUGUAUGAACAGCUUCUUGAAACUGUUAAAUUGUACAGAUAUCGUUCAUGAUCUAAAGCUUUGUACUGUGGAAUGUGCUUAAUAAAAAAAAAGUUUGAACU